ACGGGUCACAGCUGCACUUAACAAAGUUUUCUUGGGCCUGUGCAGAUUCUAGACGGGGUUCCAUUACAGCUGUAAUCCCAGCAACCUCAGGCUGCUCUGCUGUGCUGUCAGGAGAGAGCGCUUGUCCCACUACCUACCCGUGCUUUCUGGAAGCUAAGCGAGACUGUGAGCAUGUGGGUUAGCAGUGCACCCAGGAAUGCUGGCCUCAGCACAGCCUGGAGUCACAGUGGGCUCCACGUGUGGCCUGUUAAACCCCGUCUACUUAUUGACUGCAUUGAGGUAUGGGUGGGCCUCCGCAAGGUGAGAGCCAGGCUGUGACUGCAGACACUGGGCUGCCUGCCGAGGAGACUUACGUCCAUGAAGCACGCGUUCACUGUCCUGCACAUGCUGGAGGAAAGGCCAUAUGUUCUGCACCACAGUCGAAGAAAAUGAGUGCAAAAAAAAAUUUUUAAAGCUGAAUAGAACUGGUUUUCAAAAUUGGAAGCUUGAAGAUAACAGUCCAUCCCUGGGGUCCAUCCUCAAGCCAUCCCUGCCUUGGGGCAGAUAAUCACGUCAUUAUAGAAAUGUUUGCUUUGCACAGCCGGGAUGUUGGACCAUCCGGGACAUCAGUGGAGCUGAGACUGGCAUCCUUCACUGGCUUCUGUCACAAUGUACUCAAUAUGUUAUGCAUUACAUGAAAAUCAUAUGCACUUGGUAUAUUUGUACCUUUAAAAUAUUUGAAUAAAAUGUCCUUGUU